AGCGAACGCUGGCGGCAGGCCUAACACAUGCAAGUCGAACGGAUCCUUCGGGAUUAGUGGCGGACGGGUGAGUAACACGUGGGAACGUGCCCCUUGGUUCGGAACAACUCAGGGAAACUUGAGCUAAUACCGGAUGUGCCCUUCGGGGGAAAGAUUUAUCGCCAUUGGAGCGGCCCGCGUCUGAUUAGCUAGUUGGUGAGGUAACGGCCCACCAAGGCGACGAUCAGUAGCUGGUCUGAGAGGAUGAUCAGCCACACUGGGACUGAGACACGGCCCAGACUCCUACGGGAGGCAGCAGUGGGGAAUCUUGCGCAAUGGGCGAAAGCCUGACGCAGCCAUGCCGCGUGAAUGAUGAAGGUCUUAGGAUUGUAAAAUUCUUUCAGCGGGGACGAUAAUGACGGUACCCGCAGAAGAAGCUCCGGCUAACUUCGUG
rnacentral:rRNA from 1 species